GAUGAACGCUGGCGGCGUGCUUAACACAUGCAAGUCGAACGGAGUAUGUUAACCGAGACCUUCGGGUCUCACCUGAUAUACUUAGUGGCGGACGGGUGAGUAACGCGUGAGCAACCAACCUUAUGCAGAGGGAUAACAAUUAGAAAUGAUUGCUAAUACCUCAUACGACCACGCUAUCGCAUGGCAAAGUGGGAAAAACUCCGGUGGCAUAAGACGGGCUCGCGUUCGAUUAGCUAGAUGGUGGGGUAACGGCCUACCAUGGCGACGAUCGAUAGCCGGACUGAGAGGUCGACCGGCCACAUUGGGACUGAGACACGGCCCAGACUCCUACGGGAGGCAGCAGUGGGGAAUAUUGCACAAUGGGGGAAACCCUGAUGCAGCGACGCCGCGUGAAUGAAGAAGUAUUUCGGUAUGUAAAGCUCUUUUAGCAGGGAAGAUGAUGACGGUACCUGCAGAAAAAGCCCCGGCUAAAUACGUGCCAGCCGCCGCGGUAAAAC
rnacentral:rRNA from 1 species